UGACCCGGCCAGCCGGCCCGCUGGACCCCGCCGGGGCGGAGGAAGCGCGAGAGCGCCGGCCGCCAGGGGGCAGCACUGCCCGCCGCCUCUUAAAGGCGCCGCGCCUUCCCCCCCGGGUCUGGUUCUUCGGCCUUCCCAGCUGCAACUAGGUGAAGCUUGUCCACACCAGAUUCCAGGAGGAAGCACAGAGGUCUUCUGUCUCCACUCUCAGCUAGCUCCACCCUUCACCCAUCUCCCCUCCCCUUACACCCUGGCUGGGUGACCUUGCAGGCCACUUAGCCUCUCUGGGCCUCAGGUCCUCCCUC